CAUUUUUGUUAGAAAAAGAAAUUGCACCUAACAUUAAUUGUGAAAAUAAUAUCUUUAUAAAAUAAAUAUUCCUGGUGGAACAAUUUAUCAUAUGUUCUAAAAGAAUUGGAACGUUUCUCAGAAUAAAUCAGAAAAUCUAAAAAAAUGUGAAAAAUCAUUACUUUUUAUUAUGUUUUAUAAAUUUUCAUACAUGGAGAUACUGAAAAUUCUCAUCCUGUCAUUUCUGAAAAAUAUUGAGAAAAUAAUAAUUUUUCAGAAAUAACUGGAUGAGAAGUUUUAGAAUAUUUCAGUAUCUCUAAGUAUGAACAUUUCUGUAAAAUAGUAAUAAUUUUUGAGAAUAUUUCUAAUUAUCUAAGUUAUGAGGAAUAAGAAUCGUUCCAAUUCUAAAAAACAUUCUGAGACAUCCUGAGAAAAUCUGAGAAAUUUUUCCACCAAGGAUAUCCAUACUGCUCGUUUUUCUGCAUUUGUUGGCAAAGUUGCCAUGUAACAUCCUCUUUUAUCCUUAUUUGUAUAACCUCAUACACACACCCAGUCAUUUCGCUUACUUUUCUUAAACUAAUAUUUUUAACCCUAAAGUAAGGAAGGUUAUAUUGUAUGCUCCUCAUAGAUAGUGACCAUACGAACGCCAUUUCGAUCCACGAUGUCCAUACCACAGUAUAAGGAAUACAGUAGGGACAAGCACCCGUUUUCGAGUCAGCCGCGCAGAUUUGCUUGCGCAUCCCAAGCGGCCAUGUUCUUGGGCGGCUUCCAAUCCCGUUCAAAGUAAAGAACGCACAUUAUCUCCGUAACUGUGAUCACAUAUAGAUAGAGAAACAUAACCAAACAUAAAAAUUCGUAUAUUGUAUUGUAUUGUUUGUUUUGUGCUUUUGUUAAAAACAAUGUCUAAGAGAAUACAUCGAGUGUGUGCGGUGCAAAAUUGUUUUCACAAUGAUUAAUGAUGAUAAUAUAUCAUUUUUUCGCUUUCCAAAAGAGAAAGAAAGCGGUGGUUUCUAAUAUUAUUGAUACGCUACUGCCGCCCGAAGACGUGGCGGAUCGGCUGAAAAAGAUCAAAGGUGCCGACGCUCUUUGUCCCUACUGCAUAUCAUUAUACCGUGCCCAUACUCUUACUUGAGGUUCUCUAGGUGUAUCCAUACUGUUGCCCACAAUGAGCGGUCGCCAUUUCUAUGAGCGUAGCUUUCCAUCGUUCACUUUACGCGCCAAUUCAGGCUACAUCACAUUUAAAAUCUUCAACAAGUAGUAUCUCUUCCAAAAUAAGGUACACGUGAGGAGGCGGUUUUGAAGCAAGAAAGAUGAAACGUGAGUGUAAACGAAAUAAUUCGCGAUUCAUGCUUUUGUCUGUAAUAGCCGUUUGACGCUUUAUUUAUUCAAUUUUAUUAAUCGGAUAUUAAAUUAAAGAAAUAUUCUGUAGCCGAUUUCUGUAUUUAUCGAGUUAUUUUACAGUAUUCAAAUGCAAUGUACACUUUAUACACGCAAUAAAUAACAUCAAGUAAUCAAUCAUCACACUAGCUUUACCUCUACUUACUGCGUUACACAAAAGUUGCAACGUAUACCUUUUAUUAGCAAAAACGUGGACGAGCGGUAUUAUCCAGCGAGUAUUGACAGAUGGAUCAGCAUUAGAUUGUAAAUAUCAAAGUGCCGCACCAACG